AUUGAACGCUGGCGGCAGGCUUAACACAUGCAAGUCGAGCGAGCGGCGGACGGGUGAGUAAUGUAUGGGAAACUGCCCGAUGGCGGGGGAUAACUACUGGAAACGGUAGCUAAUACCGCAUACUAUCGGAUGUGCCCAUAUGGGAUUAGCUAGUAGGUGGGGUAAAGGCUCACCUAGGCGACGAUCCCUAGCUGGUCUGAGAGGAUGACCAGCCACACUGGGACUGAGACACGGCCCAGACUCCUACGGGAGGCAGCAGUGGGGAAUAUUGGACAAUGGGCGCAAGCCUGAUGCAGCCAUGCCGCGUGUAUGAAGAAGGCCUUCGGGUUGUAAAGCACUUUCAGCGGGGAGGCGUUACUCGCAGAAGAAGCACCGGCUAACUCCGUGCCAGCAGCCGCGGUAAUUC
rnacentral:rRNA from 1 species